CAGCAGCCGCGGGAAUACGGAGGGAGCUAGCGUUGUUCGGAAUUACUGGGCGUAAAGCGCACGUAGGCGGCUUUGUAAGUUAGAGGUGAAAGCCUGGAGCUCAACUCCAGAACUGCCUUUAAGACUGCAUCGCUUGAAUCCAGGAGAGGUGAGUGGAAUUCCGAGUGUAGAGGUGAAAUUCGUAGAUAUUCGGAAGAACACCAGUGGCGAAGGCGGCUCACUGGACUGGUAUUGACGCUGAGGUGCGAAAGCGUGGGGAGCAAACAGGAUUAGAUACCCGCGUAGUCCCUGUCUCUUAUAU
rnacentral:rRNA from 1 species